CAAUAGCGUAUAUUAAAGUUGUUGCAGUUAAAAAGCUCGUAGUUGGAUUUCUGGUAGGAGUGACCGUUCCGAACUUGAUUGUUCGUGUAUUGUGUUUUCUCCAGCCAUCCUUGUGGAGAACUUUUCUUGCAUUAAUUUGUAGGGAUUGGGACCCGCAUCGUUUACUGUGAAAAAAUUAGAGUGUUUAAAGCAGGCGAUCGCUUGAAUACAUUAGCAUGGAAUAAUAAGAUAGGACUUUGGUACUAUUUUGUUGGUUUGCAUACCAAAUUAAUGAUCAACAGGAACAGUUUGAGGAUAUUCGUAUGAACAUGUCAGAGGUGAAAUUCUUGGAUUUUGAUCAGACGAACUACUGCGAAAGCAUUUAUCAAGGAUGUUUUCAUUAA
rnacentral:rRNA from 1 species